rnacentral:lncRNA from 1 species
UGAGAAGUCACCGUGACUCUGUGCCAACUUGUGGCUGGUCUGUGGGUCCUGAUAGGUCAAAUGCAGAUCUACCCUUCCCCAAGUUGGCCAGCUGAUGUGAUCUGUAGUCAUCCUUUUAAUCCUCCUCUCUAUUUCUCCCUCUCUCUCUCUCUCUCUCUCUCUCUCUCUUUCUCUAUUUCUUUCUCUCGCUGUCUCUCUCUCUCUCUCCUCUAUGGUUUAGAGAGCUCUAAAGGCCUGGAAAGGAUACCGAAGCCAUGAAAGCAUUAGAUAAAGCACUUCUCUUACUGUUUAGCUCAGUUGACUUUAAUUUCCGAAGGCCACUGGUCAUGAACAACAGGAGCCUCAAGGACUUUUGACUCAAAUGGUCCCAUUAAAGUGCCUUGUGCAUCACUGACUACUAAGAUUCACUACCUCCAGAUCAGCUAAAGAAGGCAUCUUCCCUUCUGCAUUUGUUUAGUUGCUUACACAGAUUCAGGUUGGUGGGAACUGAUUGGAACGGCCUUCACGUUCUUGGUAGGUGUGAUUUUUAAUUUUAAUUGUCAAUGUAAUGGAUUGAGAAUCACUGUGGAAACACACUUCUGGGUGUGUCUAUGAUACUGUUUCAGAAAAGUUUGAACUGAAGAGGAAAGACCCGUCUUGACUAUGGCCAUCACCAUUCCGUGGACUGGGAUCUCAGACCCAGUGAAAAGAAGAAAUUAAGUAGUAUCUCAGAAUUCACCUUUCUCUGCUUCCUGACAACAUUACCAAUGGGUUCAUGUUCCUGCUGCCAUGCUUCUCUGCCAUGAGGGACUGGACCAUCAAACUGGGAGGCAAAAUAAACCCUUUUCUCAGGUAUUUUCUCACAGCAACCACAAAAGUGGCUCAUAAUGGAACAUUGGUGUUGAGAAGUGGGGCUGUUGUGGCUAAGCCUGACCAUGUGGGACAUAGGCAUUUGGAACUGGUUUAUAGCUGAGAGUUUGGAACUUUGAGCUAGAGAAGCCUUAGAGUGCUAUAAAUAGAGUUUAGUAGGCUAUUCUGGUGGUGUUUUGGAAAACUAGAAUGCCAAGACAAACGUGGAUAGUGGAGAUCUGGCUCACAGGGGUUUGGAGAGAAAAAGAGUAUUGAAAAUUGAGCUACAGGCCAUUUGUGUGAUAACCUGGCAAAAAAAUCUGGUAUCAGGCCAUGCCAUUAGUGCCAUGUCCUAGGAACUGGAGUGAGGCUAGAUUCUAAAGCAGUGGACUCAUUCCCUUGGUGGAAGAAAUCUGAAGAAAGCUUAGCGUUCAGGCUGUGUAAUGUUUACUGACUACUGCUGUCAUCCAGGUCUCCAGUGAGAAAUAGCACAAAUGAGACAAAAGAAGACAGAUGUGUCAGUUUGGCGGGGGAAGGGAUGGAUUUAAAGGUGUAGGCAAGGCAGAUCCAGAGAAAGCAGCAGUACUUGUUAAAAGACAUUAGCAACAUUAAAGAGAAACCUUGUGCUCUGUAUUAGAUAUUAGUGAAGGUUCCUUAAAGAUAAGACCUCACCCCCAAAAACCCCCUAUUUUGUCAAAAUAUGAAUUCAUUUGAAAGGAGAAAUCGUAAAGUGCUGAUGGUGUUUUCUGCUUCUUGAAAGCAGUUACCUAGGAAAACCUUUCCCCAUGGUUGGCACACAGGCCAAUAUACUUGUAGGCUAAGGGACCCAGGUCACAGCAGAACUUUGUAGUAUCACUCCCAUGGUACAGGUGUGAAAGAUGUAGGUGUGGAGGAGUCAUGGAGACUUGCACUAGAGUUCCAGAAAGCACUGAGACCAGGCAAUGUGUCGCUUGGUUGGAGUCUCUGUAAACUAGCCCUGAGAGGCUACUAUGUGAACAUGUUAAAGUGAAGUCUAAGUUGCAGUAUGGAUCCCAGGAUGUUGAAGGUACCAGAACUGUGGGUCAUCGCCUGAGGAAAGCCCCAUGCAUGGAGCCGUGUCAGCCCCAGAGAGAAGUUGCUGCAAAUGGCAGCGCUGGAGAUCUGGGACUACCCAAGCCCUUGGAAAUCCAUAGGAGUCCAUCAUGAGCUCCAGAUGCGGGCCAUAGAGCUGCAGGAUCUGAUGUUUGCCCUGCUGGGUGUCGGUCUUUCUUUGGACACACCCUUGCUUGCUGUAAUUCCCACUCUUCCUGUUGGGAAUGGGAGUUUUUCUUCUUUGCCAUUGUUUAUUGAGACAUUGUUAGUUGUUUUUGAUUUUAUAGAUGUUCACAAAUAAGAGAUUGCCUUGAGUCUCAGAGAAGACAUUGAACUGCUUAACACUGCUGGGACUGCUAAAGACUAUGGAGAGUUUUAGAGAGGGACUAAAUGUAUUUUGAAUUGUGAGAUGAAAAUGAGAAUUUGGGGGCCAGAGGUGGAAUGCUAUGGUGUAGUGGUGUGUUUGGGUGUCAGGUUGGCUGGGGUAGACUAGAGAUGCUUGAUUUUGAUUAUUAACUUGGGUGGAAUCAGAAUCACCCUGGAAACAUGCCUUUGGAUAUGUCUCUAUGAAGUUUAACUGAAGAGGGAAGACCCACCCUAAAUGUGGAUGACACUAUUUUAGGACUUGGGGUCUUAAACUGAAUGAAAAGGACAAAGUGAGCGGAAAAUCAAAAUUCGUCUCUCUUUGCUUCCUAACUGUCAGUCUUGCUGCCGUGACUUCCCCUACCAUAUGGAAUGCUUCUCUUCAAACUGUAAGCCAAAAUAAAUGUUUCCUCCCUU